rnacentral:rRNA from 1 species
CCUACGGGAGGCAGCAGUAGGGAAUAUUGGGCAAUGGGCGCGAGCCUGACCCAGCCAUGCCGCGUGCCGGAUGAAGGCCUUCUGGGUUGUAAACGGCUUUUCUCAGGGAAGAAAAAGGUGAUGCGUCACAAACUGACGGUACCUGAGGAAUAAGCACCGGCUAACUCCGUGCCAGCAGCCGCGGUAAUACGGAGGGUGCAAGCGUUGUCCGGAUUUAUUGGGUUUAAAGGGUGCGUAGGUGGCCCGUUAAGUCCGGGGUGAAAGCCCACAGCUCAACUGUGGAACUGCCCUGGAUACUGGCGGGCUUGAGUCCAGACGAGGUUGGCGGAAUGGAAGAUGUAGCGGUGAAAUGCAUAGAUAUCUUCCAGAACCCCGAUUGCGUAGGCAGCUGACUAGGCUGGUACUGACACUGAGGCACGAAAGCGUGGGGAGCGAACAGGAUUAGAUACCCUGGUAGUCCACGCCGUAAACGAUGGAUACUCGCUGGUGGCGAUAGACAGUCACUGGCUUAGCGAAAGCGGUAAGUAUCCCACCUGGGGAGUACGCUCGCAAGAGUGAACUCAAAUGAAUUGACGGCGUGAGAGUGCGACGGACGACGACGAGGGAGGAGG